rnacentral:rRNA from 1 species
AGCGAACGCUGGCGGCAGGCCUAACACAUGCAAGUCGAACGAAGUCUUCGGACUUAGUGGCGGACGGGUGAGUAACACGUGGGAACGUGCCUUUAGGUUCGGAAUAACUCAGGGAAACUUGUGCUAAUACCGAAUGUGUCCUUCGGGGGAAAGAUUUAUCGCCUUUAGAGCGGCCCGCGUCUGAUUAGCUAGUUGGUGAGGUAAAGGCUCACCAAGGCUACGAUCAGUAGCUGGUCUGAGAGGAUGACCAGCCACAUUGGGACUGAUACACGGCCCAAACUCCUACGGGAGGCAGCAGUGGGGAAGCUUGCGCAAUGGGCGAAAGCCUGACGCAGCCAUGCCGCGUGGAUGAUGAAGGUCUUAGGAUUGUAAAAUCCUUUCACCGGUGAAGAUAAUGACUGUAGCCGGAGAAGAAGCCCCGGCUAACUUCGUGCCAGCCGCCGCCGUAACAC